UAUUAUUAUUUUAGAAAUAAAACUUUACAACUUCCUAAGUAUUAAAAACUACUGCAACUCAACAAGCACUAAGAGUUGUUUAAUUGAUGUUAAUAGAAUAUGAUUAUUAUAAAUUCUAAAGUGAUAAAACUAUUUGUUACAUGAAAAUAUGGGAAAUAUGACUAAACUUGUUAAGUUUCUGUACGUUAUGGUUAUCUUUCUCUCCAUUAAUAAUUUUAUUGCAAUGAAUGAUAAUCCUGUUAUUAGAUGUAUUACCGAUUUAAAUUGUCCACCAGACAUGUGCCCGUCUAAUAAGAUUGCAAAGUGCAAGGACGCUCAUUGUAAAUGUAUGCCACUACAAUCUCAUGGACGUGGUAUUUUUUUCCCACAUGAUAUGCCACUAUAAUCUCAUGGAAGUGGUAUUUUUUUCCCACAUGAUUAUGUAUUUACUGCUAGUUCCAAGAGAAUAUACACACAACAUACUAAAAUGUUAUAUGAGUUAUCAUUUAGCAAUUGUGCUGGCAUCUAGUAAUUUGAAUUUGAUUUUUUUCUUUCUAAUUUCAAUAAAUUUGUGAUUAUGGCAUUGUAAUCUAAAAAGAUGAUAAUGAAAUAAAAAAAUACCAUAAAUAAUAAUAUUAUUUGAGUAAACUAUUAAA